rnacentral:rRNA from 1 species
GACGAACGCUGGCGGCGUGCUUAACACAUGCAAGUCGAACGGAAAGGCCCUGCUUUUGUGGGGUGCUCGAGUGGCGAACGGGUGAGUAACACGUGAGUAACCUGCCCUUGACUUUGGGAUAACUUCAGGAAACUGGGGCUAAUACCGGAUAGGAGCUCUUGCGGCAUGUGGGGGGUGGGAAGGUUUGGCGGGUGGGGAUGGACUCGCGGCUUAUCAGCUUGUUGGUGGGGUAGUGGCUUACCAAGGCUUUGACGGGUAGCCGGCCUGAGAGGGUGACCGGCCACAUUGGGACUGAGAUACGGCCCAGACUCCUACGGGAGGCAGCAGUGGGGAAUAUUGCACAAUGGGCGGAAGCCUGAUGCAGCAACGCCGCGUGCGGGAUGACGGCCUUCGGGUUGUAAACCGCUUUCGCCUGUGACGAAGCGUGAGUGACGGUAAUGGGUAAAGAAGCACCGGCUAACUACGUG